rnacentral:rRNA from 1 species
UACAGGGGGUGCAAACGUUGCUCGGAAUCAUUGGGCGUAAAGCGCACGUAGGCGGUUCGUUAUGUCGGAUGUGAAAGCCCUUGGCUUAACUGAGGAAGUGCAUCCGAAACUGGCAGGCUAGAGUACUAAAGAGGGUCGCGGAAUUCCCGGUGUAGAGGUGAAAUUCGUAGAUAUCGGGAGGAACACCGGUGGCGAAGGCGGCGACCUGGGUAGAUACUGACGCUGAGGUGCGAAAGCGUGGGGAGCAAACAGG